rnacentral:rRNA from 1 species
AUACGUAGGGUGCAAGCGUUAAUCGGAAUUACUGGGCGUAAAGCGUGCGCAGGCGGUUUUGUAAGACAGUGGUGAAAUCCCCGGGCUCAACCUGGGAACUGCCAUUGUGACUGCAAGGCUGGAGUGCGGCAGAGGGGGAUGGAAUUCCGCGUGUAGCAGUGAAAUGCGUAGAUAUGCGGAGGAACACCGAUGGCGAAGGCAAUCCCCUGGGCCUGUACUGACGCUCAUGCACGAAAGCGUGGGGAGCAAACAGGAUUAGGUACCCUGGUAGUCCACGCCCUAAACGAUGUCAACUGGUUGUUGGGUCUUCAUUGACUCAGUAACGAAGCUAACGCGUGAAGUUGACCGCCUGGGGAGUACGGCCGCAAGGUUGAAACUCAAAGGAAUUGACGGGG